rnacentral:rRNA from 1 species
CGGCUGCACGGGUAGCAAUCCUGGUGGCGAGUGGCGAACGGGUGAGUAAUACAUCGGAACGUGCCCUGUAGUGGGGGAUAACUAGUCGAAAGACUAGCUAAUACCGCAUACGACCUGAGGGUGAAAGUGGGGGACCGCAAGGCCUCAUGCUAUAGGAGCGGCCGAUGUCUGAUUAGCUAGUUGGUGGGGUAAAGGCCUACCAAGGCGACGAUCAGUAGCUGGUCUGAGAGGACGAUCAGCCACACUGGGACUGAGACACGGCCCAGACUCCUACGGGAGGCAGCAGUGGGGAAUUUUGGACAAUGGGGGCAACCCUGAUCCAGCAAUGCCGCGUGUGUGAAGAAGGCCUUCGGGUUGUAAAGCACUUUUGUCCGGGAAGAAAUCGCACCUGAUAAUACCGGGUGUGGAUGACGGUACCGGAAGAAUAAGGACCGGCUAACUACGUGCCAGCAGCCGCGGUAAUACGUAGGGUCCAAGCGUUAAUCGGAAUUACUGGGCGUAAAGCGUGCGCAGGCGGUUGUGCAAGACCGAUGUGAAAUCCCCGGGCUUAACCUGGGAAUUGCAUUGGUGACUGCACGGCUAGAGUGUGUCAGAGGGGGGUAGAAUUCCACGUGUAGCAGUGAAAUGCGUAGAGAUGUGGAGGAAUACCGAUGGCGAAGGCAGCCCCCUGGGAUAACACUGACGCUCAUGCACGAAAGCGUGGGGAGCAAACAGGAUUAGAUACCCUGGUAGUCCACGCCCUAAACGAUGUCAACUAGUUGUUGGGGAUUCAUUUCCUUAGUAACGUAGCUAACGCGUGAAGUUGACCGCCUGGGGAGUACGGUCGCAAGAUUAAAACUCAAAUGAAUUGACUGGG